rnacentral:rRNA from 1 species
GAAGGCCCUAGGGUUGUAAAGCACUUUAAGCAGGGAGAAAAAGCUAUAAGUUAAUACCUUAUAGCCCUGAUGUUACCUGCAGAAUAAGCACCGGCUAAUUCCGUGCCAGCAGCCGCGGUAAUACGGAAGGUGCAAGCGUUAAUCGGAAUUACUGGGCGUAAAGCGCGCGUAGGUGGUUUGUUAAGUUGGAUAUGAAAGCCCUGGGCUCAACCUAGGAACUGCAUCCAAAACUAACUCACUUGAGUACGAUAGAGGGAGGUAGAAUUCAUAGUGUAGCGGUGGAGUGCGUAGAUAUUAUGAAGAAUACCAGUGGCGAAGGCGGCCUCCUGGAUCUGUACUGACACUGAGGUGCGAAAGCGUGGGUAGCGAACAGGAUUAGAUACCCUGGUAGUCCACGCCGUAAACGAUGACAACUAGCUGUUGGGAGACAAAGUCUUUCAGUGGCGCAGCUAACGUUU